CCCCUGGUGGCUCAGAGGUUAAAGCGUCUGCCUGCAAUGCGGGAGACCUGGGUUCGAUCCCUGGGUCGGGAA
rnacentral:tRNA from 1 species